rnacentral:tRNA from 1 species
GGCCUGUGGCACAAUGGAUAACGCAUCUGACUACCAAUCAGAAGAUUCCAGGUUCGAAUCCUGGCAUGAUCG